GACGAACGCUGGCGGCGUGCUUAACACAUGCAAGUCGAACGGAAAGGCCUCUUUCGGGGGGUACUCGAGUGGCGAACGGGUGAGUAACACGUGAGUAACCUGCCCUUGACUUUGGGAUAACUUCAGGAAACUGGGGCUAAUACCGGAUAGGAGCUCCUGCUGCAUGGUGGGGGUUGGAAAGUUUCGGCGGUUGGGGAUGGACUCGCGGCUUAUCAGCUUGUUGGUGGGGUAGUGGCUUACCAAGGCUUUGACGGGUAGCCGGCCUGAGAGGGUGACCGGCCACAUUGGGACUGAGUUACGGCCCAGACUCCUACGGGAGGCAGCAGUGGGGAAUAUUGCACAAUGGGUGGAAGCCUGAUGCAGCAACGCCGUGUGCGGGAUGACGGCCUUCGGGUUGUAAACCGCUUUCGCUCAUGACGAAGCUUUGUGUGACGGUAGUGGGUAAAGAAGCACCGGCUAACUACGUG
rnacentral:rRNA from 1 species